GGAUGAGAGGCUGGAGAGCAGCCCUGUGGGAAGUGAUCUGGGGGUUCUGGCUGACAACAAGCUGCACAGGAGCAAGC